rnacentral:rRNA from 1 species
UACGGGGGGGGCAAGCGUUGUUCGGAAUUACUGGGCGUAAAGGGUUUGUAGGUGGCUUGCUAAGUCAGACGUGAAAUCCCUCAGCUUAACUGGGGAACUGCGUCUGAGACUGGCAAGCUUGAGUGCAGGAGAGGAACGCGGAAUUCCAGGUGUAGCGGUGAAAUGCGUAGAUAUCUGGAGGAACACCGGUGGCGAAGGCGACUUCCUGGCCUGUUCUUGACGCUGAGGCGCGAAAGCUAGGGUAGCAAACGGG